rnacentral:rRNA from 1 species
GACGAACGCUGGCGGCGCGCUUAACACAUGCAAGUCGAACGGAAAGGCCUGCUUUCCCUUGUGGAUUGCGGGUACUCGAGUGGCGAACGGGUGAGUAACACGUGAGUGAUCUGCCCCCAACUUGGGUAUAAGCCUGGGAAACUGGGUCUAAUUCCCGAUAGGACUGCAGGGUGGUGCCUGUGGUGGAAAACGAUUUUCUAGUGGUUGGGGAUGAGCUCGCGGCCUAUCAGCUUGUUGGUGGGGUAAUGGCCUACCAAGGCGGCGACGGGUAGCCGGCCUGAGAGGGUGGACGGCCACAUUGGGACUGAGAUACGGCCCAGACUCCUACGGGAGGCAGCAGUGGGGAAUAUUGCACAAUGGGCGGAAGCCUGAUGCAGCGACGCCGCGUGGGGGAUGACGACCUUCGGGUUGUAAACUCCUUUCGACCGCGAGGAAGCCACCUGGUUGGAAGGGUGGUGACGGUAGUGGUAGAAGAAGCACCGGCUAACUACGUG